CUACGGGUCGCAGCAGUGAGGAAUAUUGCACAAUGGAGGAAACUCUGAUGCAGCAACGCCGCGUGGAGGAUGACGCAUCUCGGUGUGUAAACUCCUUUUAUAUGUCAAGAAAAUGACGGUAGCAUAUGAAUAAGCACCGGCUAACUCCGUGUCAGCAGCCGCGGUAAUACGGAGGGUGCAAGCGUUACUCGGAAUCACUGGGCGUAAAGGACGCGUAGGCGGGAUAUCAAGUCAGGUGUGAAAUCCUACAGCUUAACUGUAGAACUGCACUUGAAACUGGUAACCUAGAGUAUGGGAGGGGGAGAUGGAAUUAGUGGUGUAGGGGUAAAAUCCGUAGAUAUCACUAGGAAUACCUAAAGCGAAGGCGAUCUCCUGGAACAUAACUGACGCUAAAGCGUGAAAGCGUGGGGAGCAAACAGGAUUAGAUACCCGCGUAGUC
rnacentral:rRNA from 1 species